rnacentral:lncRNA from 1 species
GAAAAGGUUUAUUGCCGCAUUAUGUCCAAUCCAACGUAUGAGACACGUCCUAGAAACAUGAGAAUUACAGUCCAAUCAGGAAAGAUAAAGUAGUUUUAAUAUUAAAAAAAAAAAAAAAAGAGGGAGGAAAAGAGAGGGAUGGGGUUCUCUCAGCCCUUCCACAGCAUAAAUUCAGGCACGCUUUCAGCAGUAAUAGAAUCAAGAAUUGCAAAUUUAUGUACAAGUAUACAACCAUCCAACCACAAGUUUACACAACUUAAAUUUACAUCCUCGGACAACCUGAGUCCCGCAUUGCCACACUGACAAAAGGUGCAGAAGUUCCAUCAACGGUAAAGAUCCCAUUUAUCGAUCAAUCUGAGCAAUUCGAACGGCCAUGCGUAUUGGAAUACUCCGCCUAUGAACUGGAUUAUGUUUAAGAUAAUCACUCAAGGUGAAGAUAAGUUUUCUAUCAUGAUUUUUCUCCUUGAAACCAUGAACCACAUGGCAUAAAUUAUGUCAAAGAUCAUGGAGCAACCUUAACCCGAUCUUGAUUUAUUUGCUAAAUAUGACUGCCUUGUUGAGAGGGGAAGAUAACAUUGAAAAUAUUGUUCAAAAAUCCCAGAUCAUAAAUAUUAUUUUUAACAACUUCCAAUUGUUCUAGAUGAGAUCUUUUGAAGAAGGACUUCCAUUUUCUUUCUUGAGGCUUCCUUUCUAGACCUGGUUCAUCUAAACUUGCUUUCAGAGCUUUGGACUUGCCUUUCCCUUGCUAACCUUCCUCUGCCAGCACGAGUGCUCUUGCAACUCAAAAGACUGCAUUUAAAAUAUAGAAUGAACUCAGUCAAAAGACUGUCUGCUCAAGUACUCUUGCAACUUACAUGAGAUUGCUCAAAUGCUAAAAAGUGUGUAUGAUUCUGCACAUAGUAGACAGAUGCAAAUAUGCUAUAUGCAUAAUCAAAUCAAUAACAAUAAAGAGACAGAACCCUACUGGAAAUCUAAUUUUUUUUUCUACUGAUUGUUCUAUAUUGUUUUGCACAGAGACUUCUGAUGCUUCAAGUUCUUCUUUCUACAAUUUUCUUUCUUCCAAUGUUACAUCCCAGCAUCUAGAUAUAAUGAUGACUAGGAAAAGAUCACUGCUUAUUUUCUUGAAACUUCUGGAAAAAUUUGUGCAACUGCAUUGCUAGAACUUCCAUUUUGCAUAGUAAAGCCUCAAUGAACUCAAUACAGUAAACCAUUCGAGUAAAUUACCUCAAAUUUUGCAAUACUUUACCUAAUUUCUAUGUUUCAUUUUCCUGAGUUCAAUUUAAAAGAAACAGCAUUCUACUUCUACAGAAGUUUGAAUAUCAACAUGGGCAGAUUAUCCAAGUUAAAUAUAACUAUAGAAUCUAAAUCUUUGUAAUACAAGGAAUGUCCUUAUGGUUAAUAGUAGGAAUAAGGAUGAAGUGUCCAAAUAAAGCAUCUUUUUUCCCAAAUGGUGAUUCUUUUAGGUAUUUACAAUUGAUUGAGGGUCAUAGAUUAGAUGAUAUAACUCAUAAACCUAGCAUUGGUCAGACAAGGUAGAGAAGGUUACAAAAGUUCGGUGUGAUCAAAAUAUACCUUCCAAGUUAAAAUGAGAUUACAUGGAAUGACCAUUGGGUAAACAAUGUUUUCUAGUAAUGAGCAAUGGAUCGCUAAGGGAAAAAAUGUUCAUAAGAUGAACCUAGUAAAAUAGAAGAUUCAAGAUGGAUUCCAACACAUUAGAACGAAUAAAAUAAUGAAUGGGGAUAUAUACUAAUAUUAUGAAGGUGGAAAAAUUAUCAGCUUAGAUUUUUGGAAACAUAUCUUGUGUAGACCUAAAUAAAUCUUCCAUUCACUCACAAGAGCAAUAUAAUCCAACUAGAAUCGGCUAAAAGAAGAGGUAGACUAAUACCAAAAUGGUGUUAGGUGAUUGCUAUAUAUUUUUAUAUCAUUGAAUUUGCUAGUAUAGGUAGCUUAGAUAGAGUAGAAUGGUGAAAAAGGAUUUAUGUAGACCCCAAGAUUAUUGAGGAUAAAAAUUAUCAGAAUUAUCAUGCUGGUAGUGUUGUAUCCGUCCUAUAAUUUACUAAGCAUUCAUGUAGUUUGAUGGACAAAAGAAAUUCUUCAAGCUAAUAUCAUUUAACUAUGUUAUAUGACAUUCAAUGUUUUCAUUUCAGUUCUAGUUUUCCAUUUUAAUGAAAGAAAGGAAAAUAUGAUAGCCAUUACUUAAUAAAUAAUAGUCAUCGACCUAAAAGGAAGACAUUGAUAAACCAAAUGAAACCAUCCAACACAGGAAAAGUGAAAAAUUAAGGGGCAAAUCAAAGUCAUGUAUGAGGAUGAUACAGAAUCCCUAUUAUCUCGCUUAAUUUUGGUCAAAUAAAGAGAGUACAAUUUUAGAUAUGAAGGUGCCAAUUAAUUGGGCUACAAUGAAGCUUGUAACAUAGCUCGUUUGUCCUAUUACCGAUCAAAUAUUGAACCUUUCUAACUUCUUCGAGUUACCACAUACAUAGCUAGCACCAAAGCAUGUGUUGCCUGUAAUCUAUGCUGCUGCCCGAUAUCCUUGGAAAAAGAGUUUGGAAAAUUGUGUUAUACUUUGAUGCAACCACAAGUUCCCUUUAAUAUUGUUUUCAAAUCUUAACAGUUGUAUACAGUAUGGACCAUGUUCUAACGUCCAACUAUAGGACAAUAACAUCAUAACUUUUUUGUAUCAAAUCUCAAUACAAAGACUCUUAGCAACUGAUACUAUUGCUCUAUGAGCGAUAUUUGAGUUCCAGUACCCAUUGGUUUAUAUACAAGAUUUCUAGUUUUAUUGUUCAUUUUUGCUUCAUUUUCCAUGUUCCUAACCACACAGUGGUGAACUGGACAGGUCAAAUUUCAUUUCAUUUUCAACUAACGUCCUUUAAGUGCAACCCAUGAAUGAUUACCAGUUAAAAUCAAAAUGUCAUCAAACGUUCUAUUUUUUCUUUAGUUUGGUGGAUUUCUAUUGUUAUCAAGUUAUCACUAGUUUUAUCUAAGUUAGCUAUAACAAAAAAGGAAAUUCAUAAUAUACAGUAUCACCAUCAUCUCCCUUUUUGCAGUAUUUAAGUUAUAUUUUCCAAUAACACUUGUGAUAAACUGAUAAUGAUAGAAAUCCACCAAACUAAAGAAAAAUAUACAUGCAAUGGUGCAUUUAUUUUUGAAAUCCUUACUUUUAGGCUGAAUCUAUCAACAUUUUUGGGAAAACAAAUCGUUUGUGUAGAAAGUACCUUACUUUUUGCAUAUGUAGCUCUACGUCACUACAAAUGACAUUUUCAAUUCUAAUAAGUAAACAAAGAACUUUAAAGGAAUUUUCUCGAAGUGAUAAUGAUUCUUAGUAGAAUUGCCAAUUCUGCAAUGUGAAACAGAGUUAAGAAAAUUUUACUUGUGAUAAAUUCAAUGGAAUUUAGUCAUUAAACAUUAAACCUCGGACCGCAAGUUUUACUUUAAUUGGGUUAGCUCAUUUAGUUAACUGAUAUGAAUGUAUAAAAUUUUAAAAUGUCCAGCAUCAUAUGUGUUUAUUGUUGAUGAUACACCACAAAAUCAUUUUAGUUUCUCUACUCAAAUAUAUAGGUUCUUGUUGAACCAAAGGGGCACGGCAAUCAGCAAGAUGUAGUGCAGAUGGUGUGUGUGUAGAAAGAGAGAGAGAGAGAGAGAGAGCGCAUAGUUCUCAUCAUAGAGUGAAGAAUAACACUCAACUGCAAUUAAAGGAAAUCUGAAAGAAAUAUACCUCAUUUGUGGUAGUGUUUGUGAGGCAGAGUUUGACAUGGUAUGCAAAGAAUCCAGCUAACAGUAGAGAAACAAAGGCUAAAAACAUCAUAAUGCGUGUUUGAGUGUUGUACGUGCCCAAUAACCAUUGUCAUAAAACAGAGAACUAUCAAUAGAGUGAUAUAAAGAGUGAGAACAUAACAAAAUUCCCAAAUAUCCAUUGGAACAUAUCCUCCUAAUCUUCAGAAGGAACUAACUAAUCUUAAUUAAGAACAAUUUGCAUAUAGGGAUCAAGUUGUCUUUCUCUAACUGUAGCAGUGGCUAUUUGUCUAUAGUGCUCAGCAUUCAUCCAUAAUGUCAGAGAAAAUUUUUCACCACUGAAUGUCAAUCACUAACUCUCUUUACCCAACUACUUAGCAUAUUGAAUUUUAUCUUAUCGACUUUUCAAUUUGAGAACAGGAGACUUUGGAGCUUACUACACUUUUUAGUCGAGUUAUGUUCGAACAAGUCUGCAACAAUGGAAAAUGGAUCAUAUUAUCAAGAGAUACAAAUCCAUUGUUGGCAUUACAAUUUCUUUCAAUAGAGCCACGUAUAGGGAUGCAAAAUGCACAGAGCCACUUAAUCCCUUGUCUGGGGAUGGCUCAUUGGUGGAUUGUUCAAGUUUAGGAUGAAUUGUUUGUACUCCAUAUUUUUUGCAAGAGGUAAAAAAACAUUCACUUACCUGUACAACAUGUGGAGCCAAAGCCCUUAAAAAAAUUUUAAUGCAAUAAUACUCUGCAACAAAACAAAAAUAGAAAUGUUUGCUCUAACUUCUAAACAAAACUCAAGAACCAACACGAAAAUGUCGGGAUACACGAAUUGAACCCAGUAGAAUGUAGAUUACUUUUAAUUCUUUCAGCCUACCAAGAAGAACCAAUGCAAGGGCUACUAUUCCAUAAAUGCAGAUAAGCAAAUACCUUAAGAAACAUUUGAAGGAGAAUCCAGAUCUGAAAUGAGAAGUCUUGUAAUCACAAAACAUCAAACUUGCAAUUCCCUACAUUUUCAUCUUUAGAGAUUUGCUUUUGAAAAAAUAGCUAUGCAUGUGGAAGAAGCGUUGAUAAUUAUCACUGUGACCUCAAAUCUAAGUUGACAAUUUACACAACACAAUUAUGUGGCACACUGAUGAAAACAUCACAUACCUUCAUUUAUUGACAGAAAAAUGUUCAUAAACAUAGAUAAAGAAAAUUCCAAAAGAUUAGCAAGAUCUAAAACUAUACUUUCCUGGUUCUAGCAGAUACCAGGUUUAUCACUCACCAAAGAAUAAAAGCCAUAAAGUAUCUGGUGUUUCUCUCCCUAAUGCAAUUGUUCUGCAAUGGAGAUACAAAAGAAAAUUCUUAAGACAAUUGACAUUCUCUGUUAACACAUAGCCCAAGGCUCUGAUGCUCAAACUCUUCGAAAUAGUUGGAGUAUCCAUGUUAGACACGACAGAACAUGGGCAUGGGUAUGGGUAUGAAAUGUGUCGGAUCCUCCAAAUUUCAACCGGACACUUCGUUGUUUUUGCUUCUCCUUCUUUCUUCUUUCUUUUUUUCCUCUUUUCUUUUACUUUUCCUUUUCUUCUUUUCCGUUUUCGCUAUCUAUAAACCUAGUGUCGCCACUAAGAGGGUGGAAAAGUACGGCGGCUCAAAAUUUUCCCUUUUUUUCUUCUUUCUUUCUUUCUAUUUUCUUCUUUUUUUCUUCUUUCUUUCUAUAACGAUGGUUUAAUGUUUCGUUUGUAUAAAAUAAAAAUGGGUUCCAUAUAAUACUACUUAGUGCUCUACUAGAUCCAAAUUGCAAUCAAAUCCCUCAUUUUCUAUUUUAUGUAACAUUUAGUAAUUCCCAUGAUUGAAAUCUAAACUCCAAAAUUCUAUUUUAUUCGUUUUAACCCUUUAUUUAAUACCCAUUUCCUUCUUUGUUAAUAAUUUAUUUUGGUUUAUUCAAAAUAACGUUUUGGAUUAAUAAAAAAAUUGAAGUUUGAAAGAAGUAUCCACAUACCCGUGUCCGAAAUUUAGACUUUCUUUAGCGAUGUUCUCGUAUACUAUAUUUUAGAAAAUAAAAGAUCCGACACUUAAAUAUGUACUCGUACCCAAUUCCCAUACCCUAGUCCAAACAUCAUAGGCCCAAGGCAUCCGAACUUUCAUCAAGGAGGCUAAGUAAAAAGUUUAUUACACAAACCAUCCAUCCACAAUGAUAGUUAAACCGAGCAACAUAGCGAUAAGAUAUGAUGCAGUGCUUUGACCUAGCAGGCCUGAAUGAGGGAAGGAGGAAAUUAUAU